rfam:Oryza sativa Japonica Group DNA, chromosome 11, cultivar: Nipponbare, complete sequence.
AAUAAGCGCAGUUGUGGAUUUCAGUGCCUAACUUUAACCAUCCAUCUUAUUAGAAAUAUUUUUAUGAUUAGUAUUAUUAUUAUUAUUAUUAUUAUUAUUAUUAUUAUUAUUAGAUGAUAAAAUAUGAAUCGUACUUUAUGCAUGACUUAACUUUAAAAAAAAUUCAUAUUUUUUUAAAUAAGGACAGUCAAACGUUGAGCAUGAAAAUUUAUGGAUGCACUUAUA